rnacentral:misc_RNA from 1 species
GAACCGACUCCGCUCCGCACUGGCCUUGGUCACAGGUUGAGGGGGUUCUUUCCCCGGGCGGUUUGGGGUAUUGGAGUGAGGUCAGGGGCGUGCCCUUGGAGUGCGCGGCCGCUGUGACCUCUGGCCCCUUACCCACAUUUUACUUUCUGCCCUGUGACCUCUGAUCCCUGCCCUCUCCUCCCCGUGCCCGGUCCGGCGUGUUCUGUCCUACCUCAGGUGCGGGGAGCGGCAUCGGCCGAGCGGUCAGUGUACGCCUGGCCGGAGAGGGGGCCACCGUAGCUGCCUGCGACCUGGACCGGGCAGCGGCACAGGAGACGGUGCGGCUGCUGGGCGGGCCAGGGAGCAAGGAGGGGCCGCCCCGAGGGAACCAUGCUGCCUUCCAGGCUGACGUGUCUGAGGCCAGGGCCGCCAGGUGCCUGCUGGAACAAGUGCAGGCCUGCUUUUCUCGCCCACCAUCUGUCGUUGUGUCCUGUGCGGGCAUCACCCAGGAUGAGUUUCUGCUGCACAUGUCUGAGGAUGACUGGGACAAAGUCAUAGCUGUCAACCUCAAGGGCACCUUCCUAGUCACUCAGGCUGCAGCACAAGCCCUGGUGUCCAAUGGUUGUCGUGGUUCCAUCAUCAACAUCAGUAGCAUCGUAGGAAAGGUGGGGAACGUGGGGCAGACAAACUAUGCAGCAUCCAAGGCUGGAGUGAUUGGGCUGACCCAGACCGCAGCCCGGGAGCUUGGACGACAUGGGAUCCGCUGUAACUCUGUCCUCCCAGGGUUCAUUGCAACACCCAUGACACAGAAAGUGCCACAGAAAGUGGUGGACAAGAUUACUGAAAUGAUCCCGAUGGGACACUUGGGGGACCCUGAGGAUGUGGCAGAUGUGGUCGCAUUCUUGGCAUCUGAAGAUAGUGGAUACAUCACAGGGACCUCAGUGGAAGUCACUG